AUAAAGGCGAUGACAGGGAGAAGUAACAGAAAGAUGCCUCAAAGAGAUCCGGCGGUUGGUGCGAGCCGGAAGGCAAAAUCUGCGAAAUACACCCUUAAGCUGCAGGCUGAAAUAUCAGUAGGCCGAGACGGAAGCUUCCACCGUUAUCUAAGGAAGGGGAUAUUAUCUGUAUCCUUUAAGAGUGGGCAUUUUUGCCAAUUAGGGUGGUACCGCGAGCCAUUCGUCCCUAUG
rnacentral:ncRNA from 1 species